AGUGAACGCUGGCGGUAGGCCUAACACAUGCAAGUCGAACGGCAGCACAGGAGAGCUUGCUCUCUGGGUGGCGAGUGGCGGACGGGUGAGGAAUACAUCGGAAUCUACUCUGUCGUGGGGGAUAACGUAGGGAAACUUACGCUAAUACCGCAUACGACCUACGGGUGAACGCAGGGGACCUUCGGGCCUUGCGCGAUUGAAUGAGCCAAUGUCGGAUUAGCUAGUUGGCGGGGUAAAGGCCCACAAAGGCGACGAUCCGUAGCUGGUUUGAGAGGAUGAUCAGCCACACUGGAACUGAGACACGGUCCAGACUCCUACGGGAGGCAGCAGUGGGGAAUAUUGGACAAUGGGCGCAAGCCUGAUCCAGCCAUACCGCGUGGGUGAAGAAGGCCUUCGGGUUGUAAAGCCCUUUUGUUGGGAAAGAAAUCCAGCUGGCUAAUACCCGGUUGGGAUGACGGUACCCAAAGAAUAAGCACCGGCUAACUUCGUGCCAGCCGCCGCCGUAA
rnacentral:rRNA from 1 species